GCCUGCUACAUGACACUUUUAUCUAUGGAUCGUUCAAAUCGAUAAAGUUAAUAAUUGUUCCUUCCUUGAAUUCAGUUGUUUUCCUGCUCGUUCGCCGCCACUUGUUGGAUACGUAGACGAGCUGCUGCUGCCGCUCCUCUCUUUGCUCUUGGUUCGAAUGUCUCCGCGGUUGGAUUUAGUGGCGUUGUUGUAUCACAUGACAAUUCGAGCGGGAAUAACUGUUGCAUCGCUCUUUCGAGAC